AUUUCUGAUUGUAUUUAUUUGGGUCUCCUUUCUUUCUCUUUUUUUUUUUUUUUUGGUUAGCCUCACUAGUGGUUUAUCAGUUUUGUUUAACUUUUCAAAAAAACAACUUUUAUCUUGUUGAUUCUUUGCAUUUCUUUUUUGUCUCUGUUGCAUUUGGUUCUGCUGUUAUUUUUUUUUCUUUCUACUAAUUGUGUGUUUGGUUUGUUCUUGCUUUUUGAGUUCCUUGAGGUGCAACAUUAGGUUGUUUAUUUGAGAUCUUUCUACUUUUUUGGUGUAGGCAUUUAUUGCUAUAAACCUUCCUCCUAGUAUUGCUUUUGCUGUAUCCCAUAGGUUUUGCAUGAUGUGUUUCCAUUUUCUGUUUAAAAAAAUUUUUUGAUUUUCAUCUUAAUUUCUUCAUUGACUCAAUGAUCAUUCAAUAGCACAUUUAAUGUCCAUGUAUUUGUACAGUUUCCAAAUUUUUUGUUAUUGAUUUCAAGUUUUAUUCCAUUGUGGUCUGAGAAGAUACUUGAUAUGAUUUUAAUGUUUAAAAUUUUGUUGAGCCUUGUUUUGUGUCCUAACAUAUGGUCUAUCCUGGAGAAUGUUCCAUGUGUUGAUGAGAUGAUUGUGUAUUCUGCUGCUGCUGGAUGAAAUAUUCUGAAAAUAUCUGUUAGGUCCAUUUGGUCUAAAGUGCAGCUUAAAUCUAAUGUUUCUUUGUUGAUUUUAUGUCUAGAUGAACUGUCCAAUGCUGACAGUAGGAUAUUGAAGUUCUCAACUAUCAUUGUAUUGGACUCUAUCUCUCUCUGUAGAUUUAAUAAUAUUUGCUAUGUGUGUCUGGAUGCACUUGUGUUGGUUGCAUGCAUAUUUAGAAUUGUUAUAUUUUGUUGCUGAAUUGAUCCCUUUAUUACCAUAUAAUGACCUUCUUUGUCCUUUUUACAGUUUUUGACUUAAAGUCUGUUUUAUCUGAUGCAAGUUUAGCUACUCCUGAUUACUUUUGAUUUCUGUUUGUGUGGCAUAUCUUUUUCAAUCUCUUCACUUUCAGUCUGUGUGUGUCUUUACAAGUGAAGUGAGUUUCUUGUAGACGUUGUUGGGUCAUUUUUUAUCCAUUAAGCCUGUCUCUAUCUUUUAGGUAGGUAAUUUAACACAUAUUCGAAGUUAUUGUUGAUAGGUGAGGACUUAUUCCUGUCAUUUUGUUCAUUGUUUGCUGGUUAUUUUGUAUAUCCUUUUGAUUUCAUUUAGCUGUGUCCCCACUCAGAUCUCAUCUUGAAUUCCCAUGUGUUGUGGGAGGGACCCAGUGAGAAGUAGUUGAAUCAUGGGGGCAGGUAUUUUCCAUGCUAUUCUUUUGAUAGUGAGUAAGUCUCAUGAGAUCUGAUGGUUUUAAAAGGAGGAGUUUCCCUGCUCAAGCUCUCUCUUUGCCUGCUGCCAUCCCUGUAAGAUGUGACUUGUCUCUCCUUGACUUCCGCAAUGAUUUUGAAGCCUCCCCAGCAACGUAGAACUACAGUUUAAGUCCAUUAAACCUCUUUGUUUUGUAAAUUUCCCAGUCUUGUAUGUGUCUUUAUCAGCUGUGUGAGAACGGACUAAUACAGUAAAUUGGUACCAGAAGUGGGGUGUUGCUAAAAGAUACCUGAAUAUGUGGAAGUGACUUUGGAACUGGGAAACAGGCAGAGGUUGGAGGGCUCAGAAGGAGACAGGAAAAUGUGGGGAAAUUUGGAAGAGAUUUCCUAGAGACUUGCCCAAAAUGCUGAUGGUUAUAUGGACAAUAAAGUCUAGGCUGAGGUGGUCUCAGAUGGAAAUGAGGAACUUGCCGGGAACUGGCACAAAAGUGACUCCUGUUAUGUUUUAGCAAAGAGACUGGUGGCAUUUUGCCCCUGCUGUAGAGAUUUGUGGAAUUUUGAACUUGAGAGAGAUGAUUUAGGUUAUCUGGUAGAAGAAAUUUCUAAGCAGCAAAGCAUUCAAGAGAUGACUUGGGUGCUGUUAAAGGCCCUCAGUUUUAUAAGGGAAGCAGAGCACAAAAGUUUGGAAGAUUUGCAGCCUGACAAUGCAAUAGAAAAGAAAAUCCCAUUUUCUCAAGAAAAAUUCGAUCUGGCUGCAGAAGUUUGUUUAAGUAACGAGGAGUCAAAUGUGAAUCUCCAAGACAAUGGGGAAAGUGUCUCCAGGGCAUGUCACAGAGCUUCAUGGCAGCCCCUCCCAUCAAAGGCCCAGCGGCCUAGGAAGAAAAGAUGGUUUUGUGGACUGGACCCAGGGCCCCCUGCUGUGAGCAGCCUCGGGUGCCUGAGUCUUAGCCACUCCAGCUGCACCUAAAAGGAACCAAGGUACAAUGUGGGCUGUGGCUUCAGAGGGUGCAAGCCCCAAACCUUAGCAGCUUCCACAUAGUGUUGAGCCCGUGGGUGCACAGAAGUCAAAAAUCGAGGUUUCGGAACUGCUGCCUAGACUUCAGAAGGUGUAUGGAAAUGCCUAGUUGUCCAGGCAGAAGUUUGCUGCAGGGGCAGGGCACUCAUGGAGAACCUCUACUAGGGCAGUGCAGAAGGGAAAUGUGGGGUCGAAGCCCCAACAUAGAGUCCCUACUGCAGCACCACCUAGUGGACCUGUGAGAAGAGGGCCACCAUCCUCCAGACCCCAGAAUGUUGGAUUCACUGACAGCUUGCGCUGUGUGCCUGGAAAAGCUGCAGACACUCAAUGCCAACCCGUGAAAGAGCCAGGAGGGGGUUUAUACCCACAAAGCCACAGGAGUGGAGCUGUGGCCUUUUUUCUCCCAAGGCCAUGGGAACCCACCUCUUACAUCAGCAUGACCUGCAUGUGAGACAUGGAGUCAAAGGAGAUCAUUUUGGGGCUUUGAGAUUUGACUGCCCCACUGGAUUUUGGGCUUGCAUGGGGCCUGUAGCCCCUUUGUUUUGGCAAUUUUUUCCCAUUUGGAAUGACUGUGUUUACCCAAUGCCUAUACCCCCAUUGCAUCUAGGAAGUAACUAACUUGGUUUUGAUUUUACGUGCUCAUAGGUGGAAGGGAUUUGCCUUGUCUCACAUGAGACUUUGGACUGUGGACUUUUGAGUUAAUGCUGAACUUAGUUAAGACUUUGGGGGACUGUUGGGAAGGCAAAAUUUGUUUUGAAAUGAGAUUUGGCAAGGGCCAGGGGCAGAAUGAUAUGCUUUGGUUGUGUUCCCACCCAAAUCUCAUCUUGAAUUCCCACAUGUUGUGGGAGGGACCUGGUGGGAAGUAAUUGAGUCAUGGGGACAGGUCUUUCCCAUGCUGUUCUCAUGAUAGUGAAUACGUCUCACAAUGUCUGAUGGUUUUAAAAAGGGUAGUUUCCCUGCAGAAGCUCUCUUUUGCCUGCUGCCAUCCAGGUGAGACAUGACUUGCUUUUUCUUGCCUUCCAACAUGAUUGUGAGGCUUCCUCAGCUACGUGGAAAUAUCCUUCUUAGAAAUUCCUAAGGCUCAAUGCUGUGUGGAAGGUUCUGAGAAAGAAAAUAGUUUCCGAUCUUUGGGAUUCCCGAGAUGGUCCAAUCUGCAAAAAGUUCAUUGCCAUUUCCAUCAAGGACACUGAGAACAAGAGUCUUAUCUGGAUUGGAUGCUGGGAAUUGAGAAGCUUCAGCAGGGCUUCCGCUGGGACUAGGAUCAGGAUGUGGACACCCCCAACCUGGACCGUCUGGCCGGGGAGGGCGUCAAGGCCAAGUACCUCAUGCCGCCCCUUGUCACAAUGACCUCCCCUUCCCACUUCACUGCCAUCCCAGAAUCCCAGUGGCCACUAAAAUAGAGGGAUUCCAACCCAAAAAGGAGAAAGAGGAGGCUGCUGGAAAGCAAAGGACUCUGUGUAAGAAUCAUAAUAGCGGGGGUGGAGCCAAGAUGGCCAAACAGGAACAGCUCCAGUCUACAACUCCUGGCGUGAGCGACGCAGAA